rnacentral:lncRNA from 1 species
GCGUCUUUAAGGCUUCAAGAGGGGACUGCCUUCCUUGAUCAACACAAAAACACUGCCAGCAUCUCCUCUGGAGAUCCUAAGCUCAUCAUCCAAGUAUGUUGUCAGCAGCCAUGAUUGUGCAUUGUUGUUGGUAAUAGGAAACUUAAUUGGUGGUUGACUUGAAAUGGACUUGGCCACUGAGGAAGCUGUGUCUUGGACUGAAGUAAUCAAGCCUUUGAAGGGGCUUAGAUCAAUCUUUUGUCCCAAGAAUUCGACGUUCUCAGGCAAUACGAUGGAAUCUGUCAACUGGGGUGUUCCAAUUAUGCCUUCUUCAAAUUUAAUCUGAACCACACACAGAGUAUAACAUGAGACUAAAAUGAUGAUCAAGUACGAGGAACGAUGACAAGACUAGAAAAAUGUUAAAGAAGAUAACCACCUGGACACGUUUUGGACUUCUGACUUCGAAUUUGGCAUUGGUACUAAUGGAAGUUGUAGCUAAAGGUCCAGCAAAGACAACAGAGUUUUGGACAGUGAAACUCUCAGAAUCGAUGGUCUGGGAAAUCUCCUCAACUCGAACCAGAGGCAGAUUGCCCUUUGACAACAAAGGAAACAAACCAGAGAAAGAUGUGUACCUGCAGUGUUUUAGUACAGAAUUCCAAGAGUUCAUGCCAACAAGCUCGAGUUAUAACAUAUACACUGAAGCAAGAACAUUUAACAUUCUUCGUGGACUAAACAAUGCCCUUUCAAAAAGAUAAUGAUUAGCUAAAAUGCAACAAGGAAACAAAUAUGGUGGCGAAAAGAUGCCACCUGAAUUCUCAUGACUAAAGAAAGUAAUGCUCAAAUAAGGUUCAUCUCCUCAUCAAACUACAAUAUAUAAUCUCCUUUAACUUUUCUGCAGCUCAAAAAACAUUCGAAAAUUAAGAGUGGACCAUGGACAUAUAUUUGACAUAUGUUCAUGGCAACAAAUGCGGCUGCAGUCAUGAUUGAAAUUUCUUUAAUAUGUUUAUAUAGCUGUGGUAGUUAGCACCCAUAAAUUUGAAUUUUUGAUCACUAAUAUGUAUAAGCAUACUUCCAGUUCGCAACAAGGCUUUCAUUUAUCUUCCCUUUUCAUACUCGACUGUUUUAUCCCAUAAGCAAACUACGAUACUUUUUUAAAUUAAUAAAAGAAUUCGAUUGCUUAGAGCACAACAAAUUCAAAGAUGUAAUUACCAAAUAAAAAAUUGCUAGCUAGUGAAGCAAUUGGUCAUGUGAAUCAAUUCAUACUACAUAAUUCAACCAAAAAAAAUGAAAGAACUUACGCAAGAAUCCAUUUGCCGUUGAGAAGAGUCAAGGCUUCCGUAGGUGCUGGAUUAGGGUUCUUCGACUCAAGCUGAGUGAUGAGUUCAACGAUUUCCGCCCUAGUCUCACUGCUAGCACUCAAACCUCUAUUGGUUCCAUAUAAAGAAUCCGCCAAUUGCUUCUUCAGCAACUCAAUUUCACUUGGCUCCUUAGGUGGUUCUUCUUCCACAACCGCUACUCCACCCGGCCUUAUUUGCUCCACUUCCGGCCCCCACUCAUCUUCCUUGUCGUAAUUUGUGGCUUGAGCUGUGAAUUUUGGUUUUGGGUUUGUGAAUUCUUUGACUGAAAUUGAUCUGUGUUGUUCUGUUUUUGAUGGGAAAUUCGUGGAGGAGAUGGGUAAGGUUGAGAUUUUGGAUGUGGGUUUUGAAUAUUGGGAUGUAAUUUGGAGAGUUCUGCAAGGAAUUUGAUUGAGAGAAGAGAUGGAAGCCAUUUUUUAGAGUGAAAUAGAGAAAGAACAGAAUGCUAUUUUUUGUAAAUAUGAAAUGAAGAGAACAGGGGAAGCUCAAUUGAAUGAGAAUUACAAUACUGUAUGAUGCAUUUUAUACGAGCGUGUUGCCUUCGAUUAGCUGUGGUAAAAAGACAUACGUACCCUCUUGAAUUAGUUUAGUAUUUAUUAAUUUAAGACCACCAAUGUGCUGCAGACCAGAGUUAUUUAUUCCUUAACUAGAGAUCUAUGAAUGGAGUUCUAUAUAACGUGAAUUUAAAUUAGUCAGAUUUUAAUAUGGGUAUCGAAUAUCAUAUCAAAAAAUAAAAAUAUAUUUAUUAAUUUAAGAGAAUAAAUAAACAAAAAUGAAAACCUAUCAAUAUUUACUAUUUUUCUUGAUUUUUUAUAUAAUUAUUUUAUAAUAUUGACUACCUUGAAAAAAUAAAUAAUUCUAAAAUAUAUGAUAAUGGAGAAUUAAUAAUAACGGUUCUUUUUUCGUGUGCAUGAAAAAAAAAGAAUCCUAAAAUAUAUGAUUAAAAGAAAAUAAGAUUGGAUGAUGUAGUUAAUUAAUUGUUGAUUGAACUCUAUAACUAUAUUCAUAUAUAUGAUUAAUUGUUGAUUGAUCUUUAUAACUAAAACAUGUAGUUCAAUAAUUAUUGAUUGAUCUCUAUAACUAAAUUCAUGAGACUUCACGUACACGCAAAAACUAUAAACUAAAAACUUCAAUUUAUUCAUCUUACAGUAUUUUGUUUAGUCGGUUUCAAAAAUAUUAUUUUUUUACUUUUUCGAAAACUCUCAAAAUGUAUUAUUAUUAUUAUUAUUAUUAUUGUGUAUUGUUGAAUGUAUAUACAAAUUGACAUAGUCUAACCUGAAUAAGUUUGAAAUUAAGAAAAUUAAUUCAUUCCUUGAAUUUUUGCCAAUUAAGUGAAUAUAGUAUUAUAUGUAUUGUUUUAAAAAAAAAAAAGUAUUGUAACUUCAGUUGCAAAAUAUAUAUAAUUUUUUAUGCAAUCUUAUAUUGAGCAGCACACAUAAUGCACAUCCACUAAAUUAAUUAUAAACAAAUUGCAAUAAUAAAAAACACUAUAGUCGAGUUGACAAGAUGAACUAUAUUAACGUUAUAAUAGACUAAGUAAAUAUUUACAUAAUGUUCCGAAAGGCUACUCAUUUUCUUGUAAAUGUAUUUUGGAUCAGAUUUUAUGAAAAAUAAUUCUCUUUUAUAAUAAUAAAAUUUAAAAGCUUAAUUCAAUCACAAUUUUAAAAUGAAUUUUCUUUAACCCCAUUAAUAAUCAUUGUAAAGAAUAAUAUAAACAAUUACUUCAUUAUAUGCUAAACAUCUUGUUUUACAUAUUAUGAUCUGACAUUGAUUUGUUUUUUUCCACUCAUCUUUUAAUUGUUAUAAAUUCUUAAUGUGAAUUUUAAAGUAUUUUAUUUUAAUUAUAUUCUUAUUUUUCUCAACUAUGAUUCAAUUACAAAAGUUAUGAGGUAGGGGUAGUUUGGGGUUUCGAGAAAAUAUGGAGGAGGGAAUGAUAGCUAGACACGUAACGUAACUCUCCUCUUUCUAGAAUUUUCUAAAAAAAAUUUAUCCUUUCAUAUUUCUUUUAAUUCGCCUAUUUUUUAAUACCAAAAAGUAGGUCAUUUUAAGUGGUGGAGGAGAUUAAUUGCACACGAUAUUUUGGCUAGAGUAAUGUCCAAAAAUAUUAGUAAUAGUAUGAUGAUGAUUGAUGAGAUUAGGAUUUUAACAACGUAACCGAAUGUGAUUUGAUGAAGACGAGAUGUACACAAAUUUUAUCAACUCCUAAUAAAUUCUUGACUUAAAGAAAUUAAGAUUUUAAGCUAAUACUUAUAUAUUACUAUAACUUUGUAUUUACGAAUGACAAAAGAUAAUAAUUUUAAUAAAUAUUGUGUGUUUCUAAAAAAGACUUUCAAAUAUGAAUUAUCAUUUUAUUCUAAGUAACUUUAAAACACAAUUGGCGGAUGGAAAAACCAAUUUCUUUCUCUCCUGCAUGUUGUACUACCAUAAAAAAUAGUAUCACUAAUCACAAUACCUUAAAAUCCCAACUUGCAUUCAAUAAUAAAGCUUGAGAGAAUGACAAGUGGAGUAUUUUUUAGGAAAAGAAGGAUAUAAUAAUUUUUUUUGAGAGAGUACAUAUAGAUUUGUUAAGACAUAACUGAUGCACAACUCCAUAUCUACAUAGUGAUUGUAACAGAAAAAAAGUCACAAGACAAUUUUGUAACAUGUACACUCAACUUAGCACAAGACACAAUUUUAUAACAGGCAGUAAACUCAGUUGUAGUAAACUUUGCUCCACACUAUUUUGAAGAAUCAAACAUCUGCAAAUCAAUGAUGAAAUUUCUUAGAGGCAAGGAGAACAUGAGGAAGUUCGUUGUACUUGAUUCAAGCCCACUAUAAUAGGAAAAUAGUUGAGUUUUCUGCCUGAAAUUUUAAACAAUAAACACAUUAUUCAAAUCAAACAUAUACAUAAAAGAUAUAAGGUGUGAUAAAUCAAUAAACAUCAAACUAUAUAUGUUAUCUCAGAGAUUACCUUAACUUGUUGGCUCCCACGAUUACAUCAUAUACUUUAGGCUUCUUAUUAUUUGAAGAAAACGUGGUUCAUUAUAUUUCCCCACUGUAAGCAAAGAAUUUUUUUGCUGAAUUCCAACAAUAAGUGUUCUUUCCAUGGACCCUUUCUUAGUUCCAUUGCUUCUUUGAAGCUAAACUUGCAAAAUUAUGAAGGUGUUUGUAGAGACGUUUUGAGCCAUAUACAUUUACGAUGACUAUUUUAAUAAAUGGUCCUUGGUGCCCGUUCAAAUAUCACAAAAUAUAAAAAUUAUACAAUACAUUAUUGCAACAAUAGUAAUUAUUCAAACAUCAUAGGUUCUGAAAAUUAUAAUUCAUUAUUGCGUAAAGAUAACUUUAUAUGUUACAAUUGCAACAAUAGUAGGUCUUAACCCCAUGAUUUUAAUAUGUAAUGGUUCAAAGCUACUAAAUUUCAAAGGUUAGAACUCAUAAAAACUUAAAUUCUAGAUAUGUCUCUGACUGGGUCUUUGAAUUUACCAGGGUAUAUAUGUGAAUUGGACACCACCAAUGAAAGCAAACAUGAAAUAGGCUAAAUUAAACCGCUCAUUCAUGCAUUUUGUCAAACAAGUAAUAGGCAUUAGGCAACUUUUUACAAAUAGAACAUUGCGAGAUAAAAAUUCAUCCCAAAAAUUACCGCAUUCUACUAUAUAAGAAGCAUAUAUUUCAUCAUUAUACGUGGCACACAAUUGUAAAACUCUAUAGCUUCUUGAAAAUUAUGGAUGAAAAGGAAGGCUGAUAGUCUAGAGAAUAAUUUGAAGGUAUACCCAAGUUUUAACUCUUUUAUGUCAAAUUUAGUAUGUAAAGUAGCUGUCUUUAAAUUCUUAAAUAUAUGUUGCUGAUCUAUUUUGUAUUCUGUAGGAUAUGGAACCUGCUGUUUUUAGUUGAAAUUUUACAGAAACUAGUCAGAUUAUUGCAGUAAGCAAGCAUGUAAAGUUAGAAUUCGAAAUAUCUAUUUAAGGAAAAAACAACCUUAUCCGCUACACUGUAUGAGGUAAAUUAAAGACAUUAAUUGACACAAAAGCACAAUUGCUACAUAGAAUUAGCAAUUUAUAGCCCAACUUUAUUUAGCAAUUAAUAGUCCAAAAAAAUAAUAGCAUGUAUUAGCCCAAAAGUAAAUUAACAGUAUUUAUAGAUUAAUUUUUUUACCAUCGGGCAACCAAUUGGCAAUAAAUAGAAGACGUGGGUUUGUUUUUCUUCUGUGAUUUUCAUUCCUAUAACUAAGGAAGUUAGCAUUUCAGUUUCCUUAAAUUUCCAAACCCAACUCCAUUAUUAGUAUAUCUUAAAAAAAAAAAAACCAAUAACGUAGAGCAAAUAAAAGCAUCAAGAUAUAAAUGGCACCUUUGAUUGUUUUGAUUCAUUAUAAUGGAGAAUGAGAUAGUAAUAAUAAUUUUGUAGAUUGUUCUAUAGAAGCGGUGAUUAUCAUUUAUCAAUACGAAUAUUGAUUUCAAAUCCUCUAUUUGUUGAUACUUCUAUUAAUUCCUUUGAACUUAAUUAUAAAAUCGACGACUUUUCAUUGCUAUUGGUGUCAACAACACAAACACUUUAUAAUUUAUUGGUUACAAUCAUAUGAUUGUCUGAGAGGCUGUAUUUUAAUGAAUGCAAUAUUAUUGAGUGUGUUACUAAAACUGUACUCUAACAGAAUGUCAAGUUUACAAUAAUUUUUUCUCUCUAAUAUCUAUGAUAAAAAUAAUUAUUCUAUUCGAAUGAUAUUUCAAUUUAAAGUGAAAAGUUUAAAUACGUCAAGGUAUUAUCAAUUAAAAAAAACAAUUAUGUACACAUAAUGCAUCCUCUAAAAUAAAUGAUGUAUAUACUUACGUAACGAGUUUAUUAAAUAAUGUAUUCAAUCAGUUCAAUAUGCAUUCAUAAUGUUUCACUCAAAGAAUAUUUAUGAAUACAUUAUAAGUUUAUGUAUACAUUGUUGAUUGUGUAUACAUAAAAAUAUUGUGUAUUCAUUCAAUUAGUUUUUGUAUACAAUUAAACGUAUGGUUAAUUUCUGCUGCAAUGUAUACACAUUUAUGUAAACAUUCAAUAUGACUAAUUCGUGUAUUGAUUCAAUUAGUAGUUGUAUACAUUAAAUUGAAUUGAAUGACUUUAUACUAAUGUAUACACAAUCAUGUAUACAAUUAUUAUAUGUGUUAUAUUUUAUUAAUUCAAACCAAAUGGCAUUACUAAUGAAGCAUCUUCAAAUACUUUCUCUUGUAAAAAUUUAUAGAAUUGCAGUAAAUAAAAUUUUAUAAACAGAUUCUACAUUCAAGUUACACACUGUUUUGUACUUAUACCAAAAAAAAAAUAGAAUUAAGAUUUAUUUUUCCAAAAGAACUCAUGAGAUCCCUUUUAUCCAUGAAAAUAAAUAUAAAAAACCAACACAUCAUAAUCUCAAUUUUUGCCCAAUUAAAUUUGAAAUUUUCAAUUCCACAAUAAAAAAAUCCAUAUAGUUUUGAAUAU